GAUAAGCGCAGAUAAGGCAGUAAGAGCCGUUUGAGUCUGCGAUUUCCGAAUGGGGAAACCCAACUGCAUAAGCAGUUACUGUUAACUGAAUACAUAGGUUAACAGAGCAAACCGGGGGAACUGAAACAUCUAAGUACCCCGAGGAGAAGAAAUCAACCGAGAUUCCGGUAGUAGCGGCGAGCGAACCUGGAUUAGCCCUUAAGCACUCGGUGAAGUAGGUGAACAAGCUGGAAAGCUUGGCGAUACAGGGUGAUAGCCCCGUAACCGACGCUUCAUCGAGCGUGAAAUCGAGUAGGGCGGGACACGUGAUAUCCUGUCUGAAUAUGGGGGGACCAUCCUCCAAGGCUAAAUACUCCUGACUGACCGAUAGUGAACCAGUACCGUGAGGGAAAGGCGAAAAGAACCCCUGUGAGGGGAGUGAAAUAGAACCUGAAACCGUGUACGUACAAGCAGUAGGAGCACCUUCGUGGUGUGACUGCGUACCUUUUGUAUAAUGGGUCAGCGACUUAUAUUCAGUGGCAAGGUUAACCGUAUAGGGGAGCCGUAGCGAAAGCGAGUCUUAACUGGGCGCUCAGUCUCUGGAUAUAGACCCGAAACCGGGUGAUCUAGCCAUGGGCAGGUUGAAGGUUGAGUAACAUCAACUGGAGGACCGAACCGACUAAUGUUGAAAAAUUAGCGGAUGACUUGUGGCUAGGGGUGAAAGGCCAAUCAAACUCGGAGAUAGCUGGUUCUCCCCGAAAGCUAUUUAGGUAGCGCCUCGGACGAAUACUACUGGGGGUAGAGCACUGUUAAGGCUAGGGGGUCAUCCCGACUUACCAACCCUUUGCAAACUCCGAAUACCAGUAAGUACUAUCCGGGAGACACACGGCGGGUGCUAACGUCCGUCGUGGAGAGGGAAACAACCCAGACCGCCAGCUAAGGUCCCAAAGUAUUGCUAAGUGGGAAACGAUGUGGGAAGGCUCAGACAGCUAGGAUGUUGGCUUAGAAGCAGCCAUCAUUUAAAGAAAGCGUAAUAGCUCACUAGUCGAGUCGGCCUGCGCGGAAGAUGUAACGGGGCUAAGCAAUACACCGAAGCUGCGGCAAUAUCUUUUAGAUAUUGGGUAGGGGAGCGUUCUGUAAGCCGUUGAAGGUGAAUCGUAAGGUUUGCUGGAGGUAUCAGAAGUGCGAAUGCUGACAUGAGUAACGACAAAGGGGGUGAAAAACCUCCUCGCCGGAAGACCAAGGGUUCCUGUCCAACGUUAAUCGGGGCAGGGUGAGUCGACCCCUAAGGUGAGGCCGAAAGGCGUAAUCGAUGGGAAACGGGUUAAUAUUCCCGUACUUCUGACUAUUGCGAUGGGGGGACGGAGAAGGCUAGGUGGGCCAGGCGACGGUUGUCCUGGUUCAAGUGCGUAGGCUUGAGAGUUAGGUAAAUCCGGCUCUCUCUAAGGCUGAGACACGACGUCGAGCUGCUACGGCAGUGAAGUCAUUGAUGCCAUGCUUCCAGGAAAAGCCUCUAAGCUUCAGAUAGUCAGGAAUCGUACCCCAAACCGACACAGGUGGUCGGGUAGAGAAUACCAAGGCGCUUGAGAGAACUCGGGUGAAGGAACUAGGCAAAAUGGUACCGUAACUUCGGGAGAAGGUACGCUCUUGAUGGUGAAGUCCCUCGCGGAUGGAGCUGACGAGAGUCGCAGAUACCAGGUGGCUGCAACUGUUUAUUAAAAACACAGCACUGUGCAAAAUCGCAAGAUGACGUAUACGGUGUGACGCCUGCCCGGUGCCGGAAGGUUAAUUGAUGGGGUUAGCGCAAGCGAAGCUCUUGAUCGAAGCCCCGGUAAACGGCGGCCGUAACUAUAACGGUCCUAAGGUAGCGAAAUUCCUUGUCGGGUAAGUUCCGACCUGCACGAAUGGCGUAAUGAUGGCCACGCUGUCUCCACCCGAGACUCAGUGAAAUUGAAAUCGCUGUGAAGAUGCAGUGUACCCGCGGCUAGACGGAAAGACCCCGUGAACCUUUACUACAGCUUGGCACUGAACAUUGAACCUACAUGUGUAGGAUAGGUGGGAGGCUAUGAAGACGUGACGCCAGUUGCGUUGGAGCCGUCCUUGAAAUACCACCCUUGUAUGUUUGAUGUUCUAACUUAGACCCAUUAUCUGGGUUGAGGACAGUGCCUGGUGGGUAGUUUGACUGGGGCGGUCUCCUCCCAAAGAGUAACGGAGGAGCACGAAGGUGGGCUAAUCACGGUUGGACAUCGUGAGGUUAGUGCAAUGGCAUAAGCCCGCUUAACUGCGAGAAUGACGGUUCGAGCAGGUGCGAAAGCAGGUCAUAGUGAUCCGGUGGUUCUGUAUGGAAGGGCCAUCGCUCAACGGAUAAAAGGUACUCCGGGGAUAACAGGCUGAUACCGCCCAAGAGUUCAUAUCGACGGCGGUGUUUGGCACCUCGAUGUCGGCUCAUCACAUCCUGGGGCUGAAGUCGGUCCCAAGGGUAUGGCUGUUCGCCAUUUAAAGUGGUACGCGAGCUGGGUUUAGAACGUCGUGAGACAGUUCGGUCCCUAUCUGCCGUGGGCGUUGGAAGAUUGAAGGGGGCUGCUCCUAGUACGAGAGGACCGGAGUGGACGAACCUCUGGUGUUCGGGUUGUGUCGCCAGACGCAUUG
rnacentral:rRNA from 1 species